rnacentral:rRNA from 1 species
UACCUGGCCUUGACAUGUACCGAAUUUGGGAGAGAUUCCUUAGUGCUCGAAAGAGAACGGUAACACAGGUGCUGCAUGGCUGUCGUCAGCUCGUGUCGUGAGAUGUUGGGUUAAGUCCCGCAACGAGCGCAACCCUUGCCAUUAAUUGCCAUCAUUUAGUUGGGCACUUUAAUGGGACUGCCGGUGACAAACCGGAGGAAGGUGGGGAUGACGUCAAGUCCUCAUGGCCCUUAUGGCCAGGGCUUCACACGUAAUACAAUGGUCGGUACAGAGGGUUGCCAACCCGCGAGGGGGAGCCAAUCCCAGAAAGCCGAUCGUAGUCCGGAUUGUAGUCUGCAACUCGACUACAUGAAGUCGGAAUCGCUAGUAAUCGCGGAUCAGCAUGUCGCGGUGAAUACGUUCCCGGGCCUUGUACACACCGCCCGUCACACCAUGGGAGUGGGUUUUACCAGAAGUAGGUAGUCUAACCGUAAGGAGGACGCUUACCACGGUAGUAUUCAUGACUGGGGUGAAGUCGUAACAAGGUAACC